CCGCGAAUAGGCAUUACCACGCAAGACCCGGGGCCUUUUCAGUUCAUUCGGCAGCCGGGAGACUUCACAGGAAUCUCGUCCGCAGAAGGUUUUCUCUGCUGAGCAAGAGCGUGAAUUCCCGCUGCAGUAAUUUGAUGAUGUUUUCAUUCAAUUAUAUUCUUUUACAUGUUAAAAUGAAAUUAAUACUUCACUUCAUGAACACUUCAGCUGAAAAAAGAUUUAUCGAACAUACAUGCGCUGUUUCCACCAGAGACCUUGGAAAAAUCUGGAUUGAUUUCCCUCCAUGUUUGUUGAGUUUAUAAAAUGAUAUCUCAAGAAUCUGGCUAUCACCACGGAAUAGGAUUCCGGCUAACAGACCUAUUUCAAAUGAAUGUUCAAGAAAUAAUUUUGUACAAUUCUACUCUUUGUUUUCAAUUUUCUUAUAUUAAAACCAUAGUACGAGUUGUUGAAUUUCCACUAAUAUAAAUUUGCUCCGUUUGUUCUUUUUUUCCUACGUUGUUCCUCAUAUUUGAUCUUUUUUUUUAAGAGGCCAGAUUAUUUUUUUAAUUAUAAAAUAUUUUACAAUCCUUUCUGAAAAUUCAUUUAUUAAAAAAAAUCAUUUAAAUCCAUUUUGUUUAAAUAUAUUUUAUGAAGGCGGGACUUCAUUAUUGGGAACAGCACAGACUAAGCCGAGUAGACGAGAAAACGCAUAAACAUGGAUUUUUAUGUUUUAUUAAAUAAAUAAAAGUAGAAAUGAUAAAUGAGUAAGAGUUUUCAUAUUAUUAAAUAUAUUUUGCCAAAUUUUUACUCUUCUAGGACUGAACCAAUAAUUUUCAUUUUGAAUGAUGAUAUCAUAAGAGCGGAGAUACACUUUUUUUUUUUUUCAAAAUUUAGAUUUCAAUAGAAGCAAAGUCUUUUUUGAGGCAGCUUUAAAAUAUUUGAUAAAUAAGUAUUGUAACUAAAUUGUACCUAAUAAAAGCUACAUAACAUUUAUCUGAUGCAUCGUCAUUUAUCUUCAAUUUUGUUUUAAAUUCAGUUUUUUUCUUUUAGCUAAAGAUUUCAUGAAAUUCAUUAAAAAAAGAUUUUUCAAUAAAAAUGGAAUAAUGAAUAAAUUUUUAAAUAUUUUCUAAUUUCAAGUGUAAAUAAAAAACUAUUUGUUCUUGCUACACUUAGUUAAAACGCCAAAAAACUGUAACAGCUCUAUAAUUUUUUGGUAAUUGUAAAGGCUGUUAUAAGAUAAAUCUUUACUAAUACAUAAAAAUAUUUAAUGGAAAAUGGUAUUGAGAAUGAAAAAUAAAUUGAAAAAUAAGUUUUACAAUUCUCAAAAUAUUUAGUCUUUAUUCGCUGGAUUGGAAAUUUUUUUCUUUAGAAUAUUUCCUUAUCGGAAAUUAUCAGGCAGUAAUAAAUUAUUCUUUGUUUCAAGCCAAGUUUCUUCUGGAGUAGCCAGCAUGCAACUAGACCAAGAUAAAUUUUUCUAUAAAUUCUUAGGAAAUGUAAAUCUUGGGUGCAUCCCUUUUCCCUUCCUAAUUUCCAAAAAAAAUCUUUUUUAUUCUUUGUAAUUUAAUCUUUGUAUAAAAAGAUUUAAGCAGCAAAGUUCGAUAGGUUUAACUAACAAAAUUCUGCGCUUUGUAGCAGCUUUUCGUUUGUAUUUAUCUUAGGUAUAAAACAAUUGAAAACGUAAAUUUAAAAGUAAUUCUAUACAAAAUUGAAGAGAAUGACAUUAUUUUUAACACAAUAAUAAUAAUAUUUAUUAUAAGAUGAUCAUUAAUUCCUUUUUAAGUAGAAAACAAUAUAUUUAAAGAAUAAUGAAACAACAUAAUAUAAAAACUGACAAAAGUAAUCAAUUAAGAAUAUUGUUAGAACUGUGUUACAAUAUUUCAACGAUAGUUGAUUUUAAUUUGAGUAAGAUCGAUUACAAAGGAAAUUUCUAUUUCUAUAGAGUUCUAUAGAGAAAAAUAAAUUUACUUUGAAAAUGCUGAAAAAAAUAUCUAAACCUCUAAGUAGUUGCUUAUUUUACAAAUUUAAUAAUACAGCAUUUUAUGGAGUUGUUCAAAUACAAAUAUUGAUACCCCAUGAAAUAUGACAUAUGAAGUAAUGAAAUUAACGUAAACCUCAAGAGAUGUCUUCACAAACACAAUUUUUAGAUUUGGAAAUAAUAAAAUUUUGUUGAUAGUUCUUGCAAUAUCUUUCACUUAAAUAUUAAGAUGUAACUUCAUAUCAUAAUGUACCAGUGUAUUAUCACAGUGUGUUGUCCCUGCAUAUUUUGUACAAAAGGAAAAUAUAUUUCAAGUAAAACCUCUGCCUAAAAAUGUAUCAAUUGCUAAAAUCUUUGAUAGUUACUGAUGGAUUGGCAGAUUAAAUUUGAAAUGCGGUAAAAAAUUUCAAUCCAACUGCAUUCAAAGAAAUGAAGGACCAGCAAAAAUACAAAGCACAAUAGAAAUGAAACGUAAUAAUAAUAUAAUUUAAAAUUACCAUACAUUACCUUUCAUUUUCGGGUUGUCAGAUUGUAACUUUGAUAUCUCUAGCACUUGUAAUUCACUCUAGGUCAUUACUAAAGGGAUAAAAAAAUGCUCUUUCUGUUGAAAUGAAUUCUUUUUAUGAGAUUGUUUCUAUUAGUUAGUUAAGAUGCAACGAACUUUUAAUUUCUUUUCAUCUUUAUAUUUUAAUAAAGUGAUUGUUAAAUCAUUAUUUGUUUAUUCUUUUGGUUAUCUUAAUGGAUAUGAUUGCCAAUUAGUUUUUUAAUUUCAAAAAAUGUGCCUUUGUAUAUUAAAAUAAAAAUCUCUUGGCAAUUUCUGCAUGUAAAAUAUAUUUGAAUAUCGCUGCACUAUUAAAUGAAAUAUGAACUAUAGUGAUUAUCCAUGUACUUAUUGUUGUAAAUAAUGUCAUAUUGUUAUAUGAGAAAACAAUUUAUGUACUGAAAAUUUUAAGUUCUCUGAUUUCCAUAUAGGAAGCACAAUUUUAAUUGUGUAUGAGGCAACAUAGCCGAGUCGUUAAUGUAGUAACAUAUUUUUUCUUAUAUUCUGUUAACUUGAUGAAGUUGUUACGCGUAUGUUUAUGUUCAUACAAACUGUUACAUACCACCUGUCUGGUUAUAAUGCUCUUUUAAUACUGUAAUUUAAUAAUUUUUGUAUUUUUAUGCAAUAGUGUUAUAAAUUAUUGCCUUUGAUGCCAAAAAAGAAGUGUUGUGAUUUUUUUGCCAUUUACUUUGAUUUUAUUCAAGCUUAAAUCAGACUUUCAAGUAUAAUUAAAACAUUGAACAAUGCAGAAGAUGGAAACUUGUGGAACACUCACAUAUCAUUUCAGAAACUUCUAAAAACAAUUCGUUCAAAAAGCAUUCCAUAGCAAACAUCCAGUGGUUAUCUGUUUACAUUUUCAGAGUAUAUUCAAAUUCAUUCCCUUUAAAAUUUCAAAGAGUUUUUGAAACAAUCUUGCAAGCAAUCACCACCAUAAUUAUUAUUAUAUGAAAUCCAAGAAAUAACAGUUGAGAUUUAUCUUCUCGAUUUAUUUUCGCGAACUCUAAUAAAGGUUGCAUAGCUUAAAAUCGAGGAAUUUGGACAUUAAUGUGAACGCUAUGAGUGAUCAGAAAUUUUUUUCGGAUUCCUAAUUAUGGUAGUAUGUAUUGACUUGUAUGUAUGUAAGUAUUUUCAGAUUCCUAAACAUUGUAGUCCCCAGAGCAUCGGGCUUCAAAGUAUUUGAAAGAAAACUGAAUGUAAAGGAAUGUCUUUGGCGACCAUCUGAUUCGCCAAAACUGAUGGGCUUUGUAUGCAUGUGUGUGUAUUUCUAAUAUAGCAGUGUAAUAGAAUUUUUUUUUUUUUUUUUUUUUUUUUGCUAGAAUUUUUCAGUCUGGAAAAAUAAAGAAUCUCACUAAUUUUAAUAAUUUAAAUUGUAUAUAACAUUAGCAUACUCACAUAAAUACACAUUUCAGUAGUAAAAAUGAAUGAGAAUCAUAUUUUUAUUUCAAGAGAGAAACAAUCUAGAAAUUUAGAAUAAUGUUUAAAUGUAUUUUUAUCUUCCCAGUAAAAAAAAAAAGAAAAAAAAAGUGAAAUUCAUUUAUAAUAUUGAUAUUGUGGAUUUGAUUUACUAUGUUAAGAAUUUACUAACAAUUUCAAUAUUGAGCAGAAGUUGAAUUGUAAGCAAAUUGUAUGAAAGGAAGCGUGGAAUUUAUUGUAUAUAAUAUUGAUAGUGUUGUAAAUAUAUUUGAACUUAUAUCUAUUUUGAGAAUAGAUUUGUAUUUAAUACUUUAAAAUUGUAAGAUGUGGUAUGUAAUAAAAAUAUCAUUAGAAAUAUAUGAAAAUUGUGUUUGGCUUCUGAAUUUAAUUGAAUUUUUAAAUUAUGUACAUGUGCAGAGUUA